rnacentral:ncRNA from 2 species
GCACAUCGCUAGGGGUGUGGGCGCUGCCAGUACGGUGCCCACUGAGAGAGUCCCUUUGAACCUGAUUGAGAUCAUCCUCGCGCAGGGAAGCAUGUCCGCCACGGU